GCCUGGGCCCCGGGUGGGGCCGGCCUGGGAGAUAAGGGCCUCCCAGCACCAUGAAUUAUUCACCGGCGCUGCCUCCUCCGCUCAAAGGCUGCCCUGGGCGCUGUAAUUGCACCUUCCUGAGGGGCCUGGACUCCUGAGGCUGUUCGUUGGCCUCGAUUAGUCCUUGCCAGCCUCCAACUCACCUCAUCACCUUCCUUCCACCCCCGCUGCUCCCUCAAUAACAUCUCAGGUGACUGAAGCAAUUUGCAGCCAUUUGAGGAAGCUCCAUGUGUCACUCAGCCUGCGAAGGUCCUUUCUUCUCACUUUUAAAGCCCUGGAAAUACACCUCUCACCUUCCUUCUCCAAGAGCUGCGCCAGCCUGCAAGUGGAGUGAAGGAGUUGCUAGAGAUAGAAUUCUGGUCCCCCACACCCCCCUCCUCAUCAUCUGACACCAUCAGACCUCAACAGUCUCCAUGCUAAGA